GAAAAACCACCCAUUAUUCACAGUGGAUAUUCCUUGUGGGGGAAUUCAGUCUUUAUAACUUUUCUUUCCCCACUCCAUUUUUGCCACAGAGAGAGUGUUGGUGAGGAAAUAGGUGUCGUUUAAGGCUAGGAAGAAAGAACACAGCAACACAGGCCUCAUCCAGAAAGCAGAAGAAGCAAUUUAUUGCAGAAGCAGACACAUUUUUAUAGACUGGUUUGCAGAACCAGGGGCAGAACCAAGCUCGUUGGUCCAAGGAAGGCAACACCUCUUGUAAACAUGCCUUUACCAAAACACCACGUUCCUCACACACUCUCCUGUGCACAACACCAGGUGCUAAUCCUUGUUAUUAAUUCUUUCCCUUCUGUUUUCCUUUGGGCAGCUUGGAAAAACUCAAACUGCGUUUUUCCCUGAUUCUCCUGUAUCCACAAACAGGUGAGAGCAUUGGUGAGGAAAGAGGAGAGAAUGUUGGUGAGGAAACUGGAGAGAGUGUUGGUGAGGAAACAGGAGAGAACAUUGGUGAGGAAAUAGGACAGAGUGUUGGUGAGGAAAUAGGAGAGAACGUUGGUGAGGAAACUGGAGAGAACGUUGGUGAGGAAACAGGAGAGAACAUUGUUGAGGAAACAGGAGAGAACAUUGUUGAGGAAACAGGGUGCUCCAGUGAUGAGCUCAGGAAACCACGUGGCCCCCAGAGGUGGCUGCCCUGUCCCCUGCCCACCACUGGCUCCCCUGCACGUUGCUCCCACCUCUCUGUGCCUGUCACUCUUCAAAUCCCUCUAUCAGGUUCUUCUCAGCCACAGCUUGGCCAAGGCCAAAAUCCUGGAUUGCUGCUGUCAGCUCGCUGUUAUCCCAUAUACUGCUCACAGAUCCCAUGGUCUGGAUCCUUAUGGAUGCCUUCCAACUUGAGAUAGUCUGUGGUCCAAUGAUCCUGUGACCUUGCAUUUCUUGGGGUGGGACAGAUAAAAACCCAUUUCCAACUCAUUGGACACCUAACUUCUGCUCUUCCAAGUGAUCAAGGAACAGCUGUGGGUACAGAAAGGGCCCUUUCUGAAGCUGGUAAAAGUGGGGAGGAUGAAGGGAAUGGAUUUGUGGCAUCUCUUCCAUCAGGUAUCAAUGGGAACACAAUUGUCCACACCACUCUGUGGUAUCAAGGGUGCUGCUUCUAGCCAGUCUUUUUGCAUUUGUAUCCCCAAUAAGAACUUCAUGUGAGUCUUCCUGUUCAAGUUCCAGCCACAUUCACCUGAAAACAACCGUAGUGGAAAAGCUGGAUGCUGGCAUCUGCAGUCUGUGUUAAUGAUUGUUAAUGAUUAAUUUGAUGAUUAAUCAGUAUUUUUCAAAGACAGUAUUUCCCCCCCAAGGCUCAUAUUAAGUUAGAAUUUCCAUCCCUGAAAAUGCAGUGCUGAGAGGCAGAGAUGAGUGGAGUCAUCCUCUGCCCCAGUUUCUUCUAAAGUUUUAAGGACAAAAUUUAGGAUACUUUCCUAAUUGCUAAAUUCAGUGAGCAGAGGAACCUAGAAGGCAAGUUUGACUCAAUCUGUAAUCCUGCAGCUAAAAUCUUUUAGGUUCAUACACUCCAGUUCUUAAAGGAAGUAACUUGCAAAAGCUGCUUGUUCCAUGACUCACCAAGAAAAUCUGUCAGGGAAAAGAAAUGCAUGGGAGAUGCUUGGCAAUACAUUUUUCCUUUCUGUAUUACCCAGACCCCUCAAAGCUGAGCGAGGCACCCUUUACAGUCUCAAUUAAAGCACACCCAUGCUUCAUUUCCAAAUGGCUUUUUUUGGUGACAUGGAAACCCAAAUCUCUAGCAGUGUCUUUGGGAAAGAACAGGAGAAAUCCACUUUGUGGACAAAUAUAAAGCCACUUCCAGCUUCCAGAGCCUAAGACAAGGGUGCAUUUUUUGAACAGAUUUCCCCAGGUAAGGAGGUUUGUCCAAAGUUCCUUGGCUUUAUGUGAAUGGGAUCCAAUCCUCUAAUUUAGCCAGAAGAUCUGGCUAUCCCGAGUUACCAAGAUCAAUUCCAUACUCAAGGGAGACUGCCAGGCAGGGAUUCAUCCCAGUUGAUUUCAGAUCUGUUGUGUGGCCUUUAUUUGGCUACAUUUAGGUAAUCUUAAUCCCAUCCAAAAUGGAAAUUAUUUGCCAUGCUUCCAAGACACUCUCCACCAUGGCUUCUCAU
rnacentral:lncRNA from 1 species